CCGUGCAGCCGGGGAGAUAGCGGUGCCCUGAACCUGCAAUCCGCUAUAGCAGGGGUGAUGUUCUGCCGAGGGUGUUCGUUUUGCGAAGCAGCCCGGUAUAAGUGGCGUUGACGUUUGGGUCUUACACAAUGGAAGCUUGUGAACCGUGUCAGGGCAGGAAUGCAGCAGCACUAAGCGAUGUCUUUCAUGUGUUGUAAGUCAGCCUGGACUGAGUUAACUGUACCGGUAACGUUCGUGAGCGUCAUUCGAAGCAGGGCGCACGG
rnacentral:SRP_RNA from 1 species